AUUGAACGCUGGCGGAAUGCUUUACACAUGCAAGUCGAACGGCAGCACGGACUUCGGUCUGGUGGCGAGUGGCGAACGGGUGAGUAAUGUAUCGGAACGUGCCCAGUCGUGGGGGAUAACGUAGUGAAAAUUACGCUAAUACCGCAUACGAUCUAUGGAUGAAAGCGGGGGAUCGCAAGACCCCGCGCGAUUGGAGCGGCCGAUAUCAGAUUAGGUAGUUGGUGGGGUAAAGGCCCACCAAGCCAACGAUCUGUAGCUGGUCUGAGAGGACGACCGGCCACACUGGAACUGAGACACGGUCCAGACUCCUACGGGAGGCAGCAGUGGGGAAUUUUGGACAAUGGGCGAAAGCCUGAUCCAGCCAUUCCGCGUGCAGGAUGAAGGCCCUCGGAUUGUAAACUGCUUUUGUACAGAACGAAAAGGUUUCUACUAAUACUAGGAGCUCAUGACGGUACUGUAAGAAUAAGCACCGGCUAACUACGUGCCAGCCGCCGCCGUAA
rnacentral:rRNA from 1 species